ensembl:rRNA 5S_rRNA 5S ribosomal RNA
GUCUACGGCCAUGACACCCUGAACAAGCCCCAUCCUGUCUGAUCUCAGAAGCUAAGCAGGGUCAGGCCUGGUUAGUACUUAGUUCUGGUUAGUAUCACCUAGGAAAACUGGGUGCUGCAGAGC